UCUAUAUUAACAUAAGACGUUUUAUGGC
rnacentral:sRNA from 1 species